UACGUAGGGUGCGAGCGUUGUCCGGAAUUACUGGGCGUAAAGAGCUCGUAGGUGGUUUGUCGCGUUGUUCGUGAAAACUCACAGCUUAACUGUGGGCGUGCGGGCGAUACGGGCAGACUGGAGUACUGCAGGGGAGACUGGAAUUCCUGGUGUAGCGGUGGAAUGCGCAGAUAUCAGGAGGAACACCGGUGGCGAAGGCGGGUCUCUGGGCAGUAACUGACGCUGAGGAGCGAAAGCGUGGGGAACGAACAGG
rnacentral:rRNA from 1 species